UACACUACAGCGUUUUGUGCUGCAUGUGCACC
rnacentral:piRNA from 1 species